GGGGUUAUCACGCCUGCCUGUCACGCAGGAGAUCGCCGGUUCAAAUCCGGCUAGGACCG
rnacentral:tRNA from 1 species